rnacentral:rRNA from 1 species
UACGUAGGGGGCAAGCGUUAUCCGGAUUUACUGGGUGUAAAGGGAGCGUAGACGGCGACGCAAGUCUGAAGUGAAAGGCGGGGGCCCAACCCCCGGACUGCUUUGGAAACUGUAUGGCUGGAGUGCAGGAGAGGUAAGUGGAAUUCCUAGUGUAGCGGUGAAAUGCGUAGAUAUUAGGAGGAACACCAGUGGCGAAGGCGGCUUACUGGACUGUAACUGACGUUGAGGCUCGAAAGCGUGGGGAGCAAACAGG